GCCUGGGUGGCUCAGUCGGUUGAGCGUCGGACUUCAGCUCAGGUCAUGAUCUCAAGGUUUGUGAGUUCAAGCCCCACGUCGGGCU
rnacentral:tRNA from 1 species